GACGAACGCUGGCGGCGUGCUUAACACAUGCAAGUCGUACGGUAAGGCCCUUUCGGGGGUACACGAGUGGCGAACGGGUGAGUAACACGUGAGUAACCUGCCCACAACUUUGGGAUAACGCUAGGAAACUGGUGCUAAUACUGGAUAUGUGCUCCUGCUGCAUGGUGGGGGUUGGAAAGCUCCGGCGGUUGUGGAUGGACUCGCGGCCUAUCAGCUUGUUGGUGGGGUAGUGGCCUACCAAGGCGGCGACGGGUAGCCGGCCUGAGAGGGUGACCGGCCACAUUGGGACUGAGAGACGGCCCAGACGCCUACGGGAGGCAGCAGUGGGGAAGAUUGCACAAUGGGCGCAAGCCUGAUGCAGCAACGCCGCGUGCGGGAUGACGGCCUUCGGGUUGGAAACCGCUUUCAGCAGGGACGAAGCUUUUUGUGACGGUACCUGCAGAAGAAGCACCGGCUAACUACGUG
rnacentral:rRNA from 1 species